rnacentral:tRNA from 1 species
GGGAGUGUAGCUUAGUGGUAGAGUGCUUGCCUCUCAUGCAUGAAGCCCUGGGUUUGAUUCCUCAGUACCA